CCUACGGGUGGCAGCAGUGAGGAAUAUUGCACAAUGGGGGGAACCCUGAUCCAGCGACGCCGCGUGAGUGAAGAAGUAUCUCGGUACGUAAAGCUCUAUCAGCAGGGAAGAAAAUGACGGUACCUGACUAAGAAGCGCCGGCUACCUACGUGCCAGCAGCCGCGGUAAUCCGUAGGGGGCACGCGGUAUCCGGAUUUACUGGGUGUAAAGGGAGCGUAGACGGCACUGCAAGUCCGGAGUGAAAGCCCAAGGCUUAACCAUGGGACUGCUCUGGAAACUGUGGAGCUUGAGUGCGGGAGGGGCAGGCGGAAUGCGUAGUGUAGCGGUGAAAUGCGUAGAUAUUAGGAGGAACACCGGCUGCGAAGGCGGCCUGCUGGACCGCAACUGACGUUGAGGCUCGAAAGCGUGGGGAGCAAACAGGAUUAGAUACCCGGGUAGUC
rnacentral:rRNA from 1 species